rnacentral:misc_RNA from 2 species
GAAAUGCGAUAAGUAAUGUGAAUUGCAGAAUUCAGUGAAUCAUCGAAUCUUUGAACGCACAUUGCGCCCGGCAGCAAUCUGCCGGGCAUGCCUGUCCGAGCGUCAUUUCUGCCCUCGAGCGCGGUUCGGCCCCUAGCGGGCCGGCCGCCGCCCGGUGUUGGGGCGCUGCGGGCCCUCGUGCCCGCAGGCCCUGAAAUGAAGUGGCGGUCCCGCCGCGGCGCCCCCUGCGUAGUAGUAAAGCACCUCGCAUCGGGUCCCGGCGGAGGCCAGCCGUCGAACCUCUCUUUUGAUGGUUUGACCUCGGAUCAGGUAGGGUUACCCGCUGAACUUAA